rnacentral:rRNA from 1 species
GUGGGGAAUAUUGGGCAAUGGGCGAAAGCCUGACCCAGCAACGCCGCGUGAGGGAAGAAGGCCUUCGGGUUGUAAACCUCUGUCCUUGGUGACGAAAAAAAUGACGGUAGCCAAGGAGGAAGCCCCGGCUAACUACGUGCCAGCAGCCGCGGUAAUACGUAGGGGGCGAGCGUUGUCCGGAAUUACUGGGCGUAAAGGGUGCGUAGGUGGCCUUUUAAGUUGGAUGUGAAAUACCCGGGCUUAACUUGGGGGGUGCAUCUAAUACUGGAGGGCUAGAGUGCAGGAGAGGGAAGCGGAAUUCCUAGUGUAGCGGUGAAAUGCGUAGAUAUUAGGAGGAACACCAGUGGCGAAGGCGGCUCACUGGCUCGAUACUGACGCUGAGGUGCGAAAGCGUGGGGAGCAAACAGGAUUAGAAACCCGGGUAGUCC